rnacentral:rRNA from 1 species
CAGGACGAACGGCUGGCGGCGUGCCUAAUACAUGCAAGUCGAACGGUCUUUUCUAUGGAAGCUUGCUUCCACUGAGAAGAUAGUGGCGAACGGGUGGAGUAACAACGUGGGUAACCUGCCCAUAAGAGGGGGGAGUAACAUCCGGAAACGGGUGCUAAUACCGCAUAGUUUUCUUGAUCGCAUGAUCGGGAAAGGAAAGACGGCCUUUGUGCUGUCGCUUAUGGACGGACCCGCGGCGUAUUAGUUAGUUGGUGAGGUAACGGCUCACCAAGACGAUGAUACGUAGCCGACCUGAGAGGGUGAUCGGCCACAUUGGGACUGAGACACGGCCCAAACUCCUACGGGAGGCAGCAGUAGGGAAUCUUCCGCAAUGGACGAAAGUCUGACGGAGCAACGCCGCGUGAGUGAAGAAAGGUUUUCGGAUCGUAAAACUCUGUUGUCAGAGAAGAACAAGUUGGAGAGUAACUGCUCCAGCCUUGACGGUAUCUGACCAGAAAGCCACGGCUAACUACGUGCCAGCCGCUGC